rnacentral:rRNA from 1 species
CCUACGGGGGGCUGCAGUGAGGAAUAUUGGUCAAUGGGCGUAAGCCUGAACCAGCCAAGUCGCGUGAGGUAUGAAGGUUCUAUGGAUCGUAAACCUCUUUUAUAAGGGAAUAAAGUGUGGGACGUGUCCUAUUUUGUAUGUACCUUAUGAAUAAGGAUCGGCUAACUCCGUGCCAGCAGCCGCAGUAAUACGGAGGAUCCGAGCGUUAUCCGGAUUUAUUGGGUUUAAAGGGUGCGUAGGCGGCCUUUUAAGUCAGCGGUGAAAGUCUGUGGCUCAACCAUAGAAUUGCCGUUGAAACUGGGGGGCUUGAGUAUGUUUGAGGCAGGCGGAAUGCGUGUUGUAGCGGUGAAAUGCUUCGAUAUCACGCAGAACCCCGUUUGCGAAGGCAGCCUGCCAAGCCAUGACUGACGCUGAUGCACGAAAGCGUGGGGAUCAAACAGGAUUAGAUACCCCUGUAGUC